rnacentral:snoRNA from 2 species
ACGACCUUACUUGAACAGGAUCUGUUCUAUAGGCUCGUACCUCUGUAUCCUUUAGCACAAAGGAGACAGGAUCUCAAGUCUGGUGGAUGAACUAUGGCCUUGUGAUCAGAGCGUGAUUAACAGCCUCUCUGGUCCAUGAUGACCGGUUGAAGUCGUAGAGGAUCGUUCUUGGCUGGCCUUGACCAGCUGGGAUGGUCACAAGGUUGUCUGACAGACU